CUGUAAGGUGGAGGGACUCUCACAUGGUCGAGGAGUGCAAGGACCCCAAGUGCAAGGGGUGGGGCUUUGAACACCACCAAGACCCCCUUCUGCGUGACACUCAGGCCUGGCUUCUGAACCACGGGGAUGUGUAGCCCAUGGAAGGAGACAGACCACGUCAGAUCAGACGUGUUACGGAGAAAAAGACGGCAGAGCGCAGUCAGGACUGAUUUUCUGCUUACACAGGCUUGACUGGCUCCAUACGAGAAAGCCUCAGGCACAGCAAUCAAUGUGUGUCUCGUGACUGACGGCACCGAGCGGAGACCAGUUCUCCCCUGCUACUGGACACGAAGCAGAUGCCAGACACCCACAGAACCACGCACGAGGCCACCAGCCUGCUGGCUACCCGACACUGUACUCCAAGACUUGGGGCCCUCAGAGCACGGCCCCAAGGGCUCCGGGGCAGCCCGGAGCACUGCCUCAGCGAUUGUCCCCUCUGCCCGGAGCCGGGCCGGACGCCUCGCACCAGCACCCAGGAGCUGGAGAGAGAGGCAGCCUGCCCGACCCAGUCGGGGCCGGGCACCUUUGCUUUGAGGAAUUGCAGGGGGAAAAGCAGAGCCAGAGAGGAGGUCCCGGGGGGACACUGAGGCAAGCUCCACUUGCUUUAUGAGCCAGUGGCCAGCGGGUGUGCACUGCCACAACUGCCUCUCGGAGGAGUCCACGGGGAGUCCACGGCAUGGGUGUGUGCACACCAGUAACGAGGGAAAGGCUGCAGACGGCAUUCGGACCGAGACUCCUUUUUUCGAAAAACUAGAAGUACAGUAUCGUCAAGAACGUUACUUCUAAAAUGUUUUCUGGGACUCUGGCAAAUUCCAUCAAAAUUAAAACACGCAUUUCUAGAAAUAAAUCGUACAGCAAUACCUACCUGGUUGCAUACAGGAUACUCACCGGAGCCUCUGCAAUACCAACUGCCCCCCCGCCCCGCCCCCCAGCACCGAAAUAACCUGAUGCUUUCCA